CUCCAGAGCCAUAUCACCCUGUAGUUCAAAACCGGUUACUCACUGAAGCUAAGCAGGGCUGAGCCUGGUCAGUAGCUGGAUGGGAGACCACAUGGGAAAUCUCUUCGGAUCUCUGUCUA
rnacentral:rRNA from 1 species